AGGAGCCUGUAAUUCAGUGGUUGUCGUUUGUGUAUGUGUUACAUAUUUGUUUUUCGUUCAUUUUGUUUAUUAGUUAAUAAGGCCGUUAGUUUUCUCGUUUGAAUUGUUUUACAUUGUCUUAUCGGGGCUUUUUAUAGCUGACUAUGCGGUAUGGGCUUUGCUCAUUGUUAAAGGCCGUACGGUGACCUAUAGUUGUUAAUGUCUGUGUCAUUUUGGUCUUUUGUGGAUAGUUGUCUCAUUGGCAAUCAUACCACAUCUUCUUUUUUAUACAUA
rnacentral:lncRNA from 1 species